UGUAAGCUGGUGAGGGAAAACAACAAGCACAAAGCUUAGAAGUAACUCUUUUUCUGUCUACACAUGAAUAGCUCCCUUAAAAGUAUUCUAGUGCAUAAGUAGGAGGCUGCAAACACUGGGAAGGAAUAAAGCCAGAAGUUCUUCUCCACAAAAACGAAGAGCUCCCAAAGUCACACAAACAGAAGGAACUGGGGAAAGGAGGGAAUGCCUUAGACACAGGUGUGGUAUAUGUGAUGCUUGAAACUAAACUGUAAAAACCUGACUUCAGCAUGAACGGGGAUGGAGAAGAGAUGGCAGGAUAUUGCUUGUCAUGCUUAUGUUAUUGAAAGCAAACAAUUUCCUUCAAAUGAAAACACAGGGGUUUCAGCCCUGCAGAUAUUAGUAUCUUGUUGGAGCCUGCCUUCAUUUUGGACCCCCCACUUUGAGACCAACUCAGACACCAGCUUUGAUAAGAACCACAUUUCUAAGAUGAGGUCUGUAUUCCAUCUAUAUUGUAUAAACAUGCUUUGAACCUUUUGCAAUAGCAUAGAGCUUAAAAAAGAAACAGAAAACAAUUAAACUUACUCUAAGUUGAUAGGAUCUCAGUUCAUAAAUAUUAGGCCCCGCUCUGGGAACAGGUUCAUUCCAGAAACUAAACUCCAACAACAACUGGUUCUUGCGGGACAGGAGCAUGUUACCUCUUUCUUUGCGGAACUCUGUGAAUUCCUAAAAACCAAUGGGAUCACUGUCAACGUGUGUGUUCUGUUUCAACAACAAAAAGCAGUCUACCAUG